UGCCCUGUUUGCUCUCUACUGUUGUGAUGAACCCCGAAGCCAGGAGCAACUUAGGGAAGAAAGGGAUUACUGGGCUCAAAUGUCUCCAUCACUGUUGAUGGCUGAGGGAAAUAGAGGCAAGAACUCUACUGGAGCAGAGGCAGGAAAAUGGCAACAAGAGCAGAUCCACAUCAACGCAGUCAAGAAUGUGCUUGUGGUUUCUGCAGCCCAGGGAAGCAGAGGUUACAGCUUCAAUAAUGUGGAUGGCAGCUGCCAUUAUUGACCUUAAUGGAAAAGAACAGAGGAAAAGUGUUGUUAGCCAAAGAUAAGUAUGUAUUUUGUGACCCUCUCCUAAGUCUCGCCAACCUAAGAAAAUUCCUCAGUUCUCCCUUGUGUCUCCUGACCUUGAGAAGGUCUGGAACGCUGGUCCACAUUGGCCAAUAACUCAGGAUCCUCUUGCCUCUGCCUAAUUUGUGCUGAAAUAAAAGGUAUGUGUGACUUUC